rnacentral:rRNA from 1 species
AUGGAGGACUCUGAUCUUGAAACAGUUUGCAUCCAAGAUUCAGCCAAAGCAAGCCAGCCGCGAUGGAGGAUCGUGAAACAAUCAGCAUCCAAGACGGCAAGUCAACCCUGCGCCACCGGCACAGAACCGGGCCACCUUGCCACCAGGAGCCACCCCGCCAGCGGACACCAAGCCCCGCCACCAACUGGCGAGUCGCCGUCGACGCGCCGCCACGAAACUGCUGCCCUGCAGCACGGGAGCCGCCGCGAGGAGAAGCCCCGCCGCCGCCGUCGGCCGCGCGGGCUUAGCCCGGCGGCGUCCUCCGGCGGCGGCGCAGUGGGAGUAGAGGAUAGAUCGGGUGGCGGCGCUAGGGUAGGACGUGCGCCCGAGUCGCCCUGGGCUGGGCGACGCGGGGCCCUUCCUGCGUACCGUGCGAAAGAGAAGAUCCAGGCGAAGCUGCAUGAAAAUGACCAGUAA